rnacentral:rRNA from 1 species
GAUGAACGCUGGCGGCGUGCCUAAUACAUGCAAGUCGAGCGAACAGACGAGGAGCUUGCUCCUCUGACGUUAGCUGCGGACGGGUGAGUAACACGUGGAUAACCUACCUAUAAGACUGGGAUAACUUCGGGAAACCGGAGCUAAUACCGGAUAAUAUAUUGAACCGCAUGGUUCAAUAGUGAAAGACGGUUUUGCUGUCACUUAUAGAUGGAUCCGCGCCGCAUUAGCUAGUUGGUAAGGUAACGGCUUACCAAGGCAACGAUGCGUAGCCGACCUGAGAGGGUGAUCGGCCACACUGGAACUGAGACACGGUCCAGACGCCUACGGGAGGCAGCAGUAGGGAAUCUUCCGAAAUGGGCGAAAGCCUGACGGAGCAACGCCGCGUGAGUGAUGAAGGUCUUCGGAUCGUAAAACUCUGUUAUUAGGGAAGAACAAAUGUGUAAGUAACUAUGCACGUCUUGACGGUACCUAAUCAGAAAGCCACGGCUAACUACGUG